GCGCCUGUAGCUCAGCCUGGAUAGAGCGACAGCCUUCUAAGCUGAAGGUCGGGGGUUCAAAUCCUCCCAGGCGCA
rnacentral:tRNA from 1 species